GAUGAACGCUGGCGGCGUGCCUAAUACAUGCAAGUCGAGCGAACGGACGAGAAGCUUGCUUCUCUGAUGUUAGCGGCGGACGGGUGAGUAACACGUGGAUAACCUACCUAUAAGACUGGGAUAACUUCGGGAAACCGGAGCUAAUACCGGAUAAUAUUUUGAACCGCAUGGUUCAAAAGUGAAAGACGGUCUUGCUGUCACUUAUAGAUGGAUCCGCGCUGCAUUAGCUAGUUGGUAAGGUAACGGCUUACCAAGGCAACGAUGCAUAGCCGACCUGAGAGGGUGAUAGGCCACCCUGGAACUGAGACACGGUCAAGACUCCUACGGGAGGCAGCAGUAGGGAAUCUUCCGCAAUGGGCGAAAGCCUGACGGAGCAACGCCGCGUGAGUGAUGAAGGUCUUCGGAUCGUAAAACUCUGUUAUUAGGGAAGAACAUAUGUGUAAGUAACUGUGCACAUCUUGACGGUACCUAAUCAGAAAGCCACGGCUAACUACGUG
rnacentral:rRNA from 1 species